rnacentral:rRNA from 1 species
AUUGAACGCUGGCGGCAGGCCUAACACAUGCAAGUCGAACGAGUGGCGGACGGGUGAGUAAUGUCUGGGAAACUGCCCGUUGGAGGGGGAUAACUAAUGGAAACAGUAGCUAAUACCGCCUACCAUCGGAUGUGCCCAGACGGGAUUAGCUGGUAGGUGGGGUAACGGCUCACCUAGGCGACGAUCCCUAGCUGGUCUGAGAGGAUGACCAGCCCCACUGGAACCGAGACACGGUCCAGACUCCUACGGGAGUCAGCAGUGGGGAAUAUUGCACAAUGGGCGAAAGCCUGAUGCAGCCAUGCCGCGUGUAUGAAGAAGGCCUUCGGGGUGUAAAGUACGUUCAGCGAGGAGGCGUUACUCGCAGAAGAAGCACCAGCUCACUCCGUGCCAGCAGCCGCGCUAAUUC